UUACUUUUAGGUGUUACACGCACGGAAAACUUUGACUUUUCAGGGAGCAGCCAAUCUGCUAUUAGUA
rnacentral:tRNA from 1 species